GAUGAACGCUGGCGGCGUGCCUAAUACAUGCAAGUCGAGCGAACGGACGAGAAGCUUGCUUUUCUGAUGUUAGCGGCGGACGGGUGAGUAACACGUGGAUAACCUACCUAUAAGACUGGGAUAACUUCGGGAAACCGGAGCUAAUACCGGAUAAUAUUUUGAACCGCAUGGUUCAAAAGUGAAAGACGGUCUUGCUGUCACUUAUAGAUGGAUCCGCGCUGCAUUAGCUAGUUGGUAGGGUAACGGCUUACCAAGGCAACGAUGCAUAGCCGACCUGAGAGGGGGAUCGGCCACACGGGAGCUGAGACACGGUCCAGACGACUACGGGAGGCAGCAGUAGGGAAUCUUCCGCAAUGGGCGAAAGCCUGACGUAGCAACGCCGCGUGAGUGAUGAAGGUCUUCGGAUCGUAAAACUCUGUUAUUAUGGAAGAACAUAUGUGUAAGUAACUGUGCACAUCUUGACGGUACCUAAUCAGAAAGCCACGGCUGACUACGUG
rnacentral:rRNA from 1 species